UACAGAGGUCCCGAGCGUUGUUCGGAUUCACUGGGCGUAAAGGGUGCGUAGGCGGUCAGAUAAGUCUGAUGUGAAAUCCCGCAGCUUAACUGCGGAACGGCAUUGGAAACUAUCCGGCUAGAGGAAUGGAGGGGAGACUGGAAUACUUGGUGUAGCAGUGAAAUGCGUAGAUAUCAAGUGGAACACCAGUGGCGAAGGCGAGUCUCUGGACAUUUCCUGACGCUGAGGCACGAAAGCCAGGGGAGCAAACGGG
rnacentral:rRNA from 1 species